AGUGCGCCCCUACUACGCUGCGCGCCCUUAUAUAGGCUGGUGGGUGCGGCGCCGCCAGCUGGCGCGAGGCUGCGCGCCUAUUGGCCGGCACCCGCUUUCUGAUGUAAAUGAGGCGGCGAGCCAGCGGCUCGUGCCAGAAGGCCACGUGGGGAGGGGUGCGGGGGAUGACAAUGCCUCAAAUCUGCCGCUUUUGUUGGGGUGUUACCAGGCAGACUGGAGCCUGCAGAUUUCAUCUCGCCUGGCUUUUUUUUUUUUUUGAAGUCCUUAAAAGGAAAAAGUAAAAAAAAAAAAAAAAGAAAAAACCCAACCCACAAAAACCUUGUUUGCUUAUAUGAUGCUGCAAUUUGCGAAAAGCACCUUUAUAGAAGCAAAGGGAUUUUUUUUUGCAUUUUGUAUUGCUACCUUUCUAUUUGUUUCUUUUCUUUAAUUUGAAGUCUAUGAGACUGUUGCAUUGGAGCCAGAAAUUAAGGUAAAAACAGGUAGCGCCAGUUAGAGGCUUGCAAAAGGCAGUGGGCACAGCCCCCUGCAGCUGACCACUAGCGUCCCGAGCGCGCUGGUGAUGCCUGCCAGGCAUACUCAAUGUGUACAUUGAGCCGUCUCUGGAAGAUCCCACCCCACCUCCCCGCCCUUGGCCGAGCGCGGCGGGGCGCGGGAGACGGGGGCGGGCGGGGACGAGCAGAUUGCGGCCGGCGCACGCCGCUCGUUUGCAUUUCUAUGGAGGGCGCACAAUAGCAGAGGUCUGGCGUGUGGCGGUUUGCUGUAGGGACAAUCGAGGCUUUCUCUUCAUAGCAACACUGUCCACCUGCCGCCGGGUGGGGUGGGCAGGACCCCGCCGCGCGUGGGGGUCGCCGGGCUGCCUGGCGCGUGGGGUCGAGGCUGAGUGCCACUCCGUGGUCCCUGAGUGCACGCCCCCAGUACUGGCCCUGCUACAAGUAAUUCCCUUCCAUCCGUUCCUCGCACGGGUGCCGAACAGCCGCGCGAGUUGGGAAGGACGGAGAGCUGCUGUGCAGUCUUCGCGGCUGGACGCCCUGUGGCCGGGACCCCGCGGCUGCAGCCCCUGGAGCUUAGGUAAUGCAGCUCGGAAUCUUUCCCGGGGCGCCAUCUGCAGGCAGGUUAAAAAGAUCCUGAACCCCUUUUGUCCUCCCCUCCCCCCAACACACACACCCUUGCAUUGGCCUGGCGCGGGGGAAGGGCGGUGGAGAGGGACGGCCACGGAGCUGCCCGGCCGGGCCCAGUGAGCCCUGUCCAAGCUGCGCAUAAAUAGAACCCGAGUAAGGGCUGCAAAACGCAUUCAGGUGGGACUGCAGUUACCCUGGGGAGUAGAGGGCAAAAGGAAAUUCCCAUCCAGUACUGAUGGAGUAAGAGCCCCUACGUCUUAUACCAUGUUGAAAUAUCUUAAUUACUUAAAUGCGCAUAUGUAAAAAGCCUUUUUUCCGGCAAUGGAAUAAGUCUGGAAGAGAUCUUGGGAGAGUUUAAUAGGCUAGAGGUUGCUGCCGUUUGACCAUACACGCUGGCACUUUCAGAGGAUUCACCCACUGAGCACCUUCUGUGCUACGUGAAAAGGCGCGCUGGGGGACACCUCAUUGCUUCCUUUUUUUGGGUGAAGCCUUGGAGACUGGCCAGGACAGUGGCGGGCCGGGUGGAUUGGAUGGAAACCCGGGCCCUGCCGCAAGACUGGGGCGAUAAUGGGAAAGUAAACAACGCCGUGGCUUUGUUCCUUUCAUUCAGGCUUUCUUCAGGUGGGUGGUGAAUGUACAAGGUACUUCUGAAUUUGUUAUGGGGAAGUUUCCAUUCUGCGCUUGCAGGCAGGCACUUCUGCCAAGGUGAGAAGCUGGCGUCUUGCGCCCCCCAGCGGCUUCCUGGCAGAGGAGAGCUGCAAAAGCCCGGCCCUUCCUGGAUUCUAAGAAUGAAGAGCUUGCUCUCCUAGCAUUUCUGAACUCCAGAGGUGUCUCCUAAGGACGGGGGGAGAGGGGAGGGGGAAGCGGAGCCAGGCGGCAUUAUGCCCCGUUUGUUCGCUAGUUUCUUUUCUUUCUUGAUGUAUAAAAUGAUGAUAUGCCUUGAUUGGAUAAAAUAUGUUAAUUUUAAGUGAUUGGAAUAUAGGUAUUACUCUUUUAAAACUAUUAAACUUUUCUUUUCUUUUCUUUUCUUUUUUGAGACGGAGUCUCGCUCGGUUGCCCAGGCUGGAGUGCGGUGGCACAAUCUCGGCUCACUGCAACCUCCGCCUCCCGGGUUCAAGCGAUCCUUCUGCUUCAGCCUCCCGAGUAGCUGGGACUACAGGUGCAUCUCAGAUGCCUUCCAGCAUGUGAAGGACACCAUUGCAUUGGCUCUCACCACCACCAUGCCCUCCUCCUUACCCAGGGUGAAGCAUGAAUCUGCACAUGGGGAGGCUUCAGAGGACAACUGAGACAAGAAGCAGGAAGCUGAGAAAGGAGGACACCUCCCACACACACAUCUAGCAAAAGCUGGACAUUUCUGGUCAGUCAUCCUUAUGCAAAGACUUUCUGGAAGGAGCAGUUAUUCUUGGGUGAGCACUUAUGUAGCAUGAAAGAGGUUAACAUUAGCCCAGGGAAAUCCUUCAAAGUAAUUGAGGGGGAAGGAUACAUUAUUUAUGCAUUUGUUCCCUUCUCUAUCGACAGUAAGAAAUGAUUCAUGGCACCUGUCACAGUCCUAGGUAGUGACAGACACCAGCCUGCACUGUAGCUGAAAACCCCUGAGAAGCCACAGAUGUGCAGUCUUCCCAGCUUGACUACAUGCCCAAGUCUUCUGAACCUUAGUUUCCCAACCUAGGAAAUAAAAAUUGUGCCCUUUACCCCUCAUGAACCUUAUUGGGGUCUUAUAAGAUUGCUCCUGGUUGCCAUUUGGCCCACAGAUGGGUUUAGUUUGGUGGACAGUGUCCCGAAAGACUUACAAAUUCAGAUCUGACUUGUUCAUUUGUGUAGGGGAGAGUUGGUGGCACACAUCCUCUCUGUCACUGUAAGUAUGUUCCAAAUGUCACAUUAGGUCCACUGGCACGUGUAAGCCCUGUCUGGCAUUUGCCUGGUCCCUGCAGGCAUUUGGGUUGGCAGUAAACUUUCUUUUCUAACAGAUUUCUGGAAAUGUUUACAUGUAGCAUAUAAUAGAAUAAUAGAACCACAGAACUUCCACAGUAAAGCCUUCCUUCUUUUAUGUUCCAAAAGCUAAAAUGUACUAACAACCUCCAAAAGGCACUAUGACAUUGGAGUUUAAACUUUGUGGAGCAGGACUCAAAGCUGGACUUAGCUGCUUGCUAACUUUGACCUUGAGUGAAGAGUUAGCAGAUGAUUUAAAGUGUAAAGUAGAAAGAAUUCAUGCUGGUUAGCCCAUUAAAUACCCGUUAAUUAAGCUCUCCAAAAACGCCAUUCAAAAAUGUAUAUGAUAAUCAAAUAUUUAUUGCAAUGUUUCUUAAAAUAGUGAAAAAUUAGAAAACAUUAUAGGGGGCUAGUGUUAAAUCAUGGUGUAACCAGAAAUGAAACAUUAUGCAACCAUAAAAAGGAGUUCUGAAGAGUAGUUCCCGGCAUGAUAUAAUGUGAAAAAAAGCAAAAUACGAAAUUGUGCAAUUCUAAUUUUGCAAAAACUUUCAGCGUACACGACUAUCACUGUAUAAAGUCACAAAGUAGGAAUGGUGAUUGUAUCUUGGAGUGAUGAGAUUAUAAGUGAUUUUUAAUUUUCUUCACUAUGCUUUACUGCAAUUAAACAUUUACAAUUCAAUUUUAUUUAACAAAAAUAUAUAAAACUUCUCAAAUGGAGUAACUUCAGUACCAGACAUCCUCAACCUGACUGCUCUGGAGGUUAUUGUGCAGAGCAAUCUUUGACCAUAUGGUCACAGAUCCAGAAGCCAGACGUCUGUGGGGCUUUGCUCCUGAGACUGUGACCUUUGAUUCCUGCACUCCUCCUCUUGCCAUCUGACGCCGGUCUGCGCCUGUGACUGAGUGAAAAUCGUCAUAACUGUACUCGGAGGUUAACUCUGGCAUGACUGGGAUGGAAUCCCAGGCAACAUGCUGGAGGCAGGAAAGAAGGCCAGCCGGCAAGUCAGAACCAAACACCCUGGACGGCACCUUUCCUUACAAAUGCGGUUCACAGGACCCUUGGGGAUCCUCUGCGCACACUGAGGCAAGCAGCAAUGGAAGAAAUUAUCUUCCACUCCCUUCUUGUUGAAAAUGUCUGUUUUCCAGAAAUGAAUUACAGUAAUAGAUUAUGAAAAUUGUUUCCAUUGCCUACAUAACACAGCAGGGAAUUCUAAAAUUUCAAAACAUGUAAUAUACUCAACCUGUGCUUGAGA